CACGCGCCCAGUCACUUUGUAAAGCCCUAAACCAUUCCCGUACCGUUCCCGAAUUGGCUUCUGCUCCGUUUUGCUGUUGCCGUAUUCGUUAUUAUUCCAAUUAUUUGAACAAGGAAGAGUCGUUGCAAUAUAGAACAGAUCUGAUUGCUACAAGGUUAUGAUCCCUUCAAUAUUCUAGCUGAAAGUGUAUGAGUUGAAUUAUCAUACACUUUGUGCAUAUACAUUGAACAAUGGCAAAAGGAAUAUCGAGCUUUUGGGGCCCUGUAACAUCUGCAGAAUGGUGUGAAAAAAAUUAUGUGUAUUCAUCUUAUAUUGCUGAGUUUUUUAACACCAUAUCAAAUAUCCCAGGCAUUCUUUUGGCACUCGUUGGCCUUAUAAAUGCUUUCAGACAACGGUUCGAGAAGAGGUUUAGUAUACUUCACAUAUCUAAUAUGAUACUUGCCAUUGGAAGUAUGUUAUACCAUGCCACUUUGCAACACAUGCAGCAGCAAGGUGAUGAAACACCAAUGGUUUGGGAAAUGCUUUUGUACAUCUACAUCCUUUACUCUCCAGAUUGGCACUACCGAAGUACGAUGCCCACCUUCUUGUUCUUUUAUGGAGCUGCAUUUGCAAUUGUCCAUGCACUGGUUCGUUUAAGAAUUGGUUUCAAGGUACAUUAUGUGAUACUUUGCCUUCUCUGUGUUCCCCGGAUGUACAAGUACUACAUCUACACAAAAGAUGCAUCUGCAAAGCGGCUUGCAAAAUUAUAUUUGGCUACCAUUUUCAUGGGAAGUCUUUGUUGGCUUUUUGAUCGCCUAUUCUGCAACAACAUUUCUCAGUGGUACUUCAACCCCGAGGGACAUGCUUUAUGGCAUGUCUUGAUGGGGUUCAAUUCAUAUUUUGCAAACAUUUGCCUGAUGUUUUGUCGUGCUCAGCAGUUGGGUUGGAAUCCAAAAGUUGCCCACUUCAUGGGAUUUUUCCCGUAUGUGAAAAUUCAAAAACCAAAAACCCAGUGACUGGCGCUGCAAAGCAAAUGGCAUCUUUCCCUUUUCACUUCGUUUGGAGGCAGAUAUAUGGUUUUGGCAGUUUUUAUUAGAAGGUGCAUCCGUGGAUGAACGUCACAUAUAAUAUAAUGCCGCAUGAAAGUUCACGCCAUAUGCCAACUGUUAGGGGGUCAAACAUGCCAAAGAUGCACGGAGGGCGGCAAUGGGCAGCGGCAGCCUCUGUGAUGGUGGCAAAUUUGAUUGGCAACGGCUGUGAGUAGUGGGUUAGCGUGAGUUUGGACUUGGGAACAAUCCGAGACAUGCAGCAUGGCAGGGUAGUAGGUGGUAGACCGAGAGAAGUUGCAACUAUAGGGCAGUUAUCAACAAUUAGUUGUUUUGGAAAAAAAAAUUUGUCUGGACUUGUCUUGAUCUUUUUGAGGUAGUUUUUAUUGUAACUUCUGUAUAGAUUAUCUAUAAAUACGCCAUAAAGGUUGCGUAGCAUGCAGAUUAUAUUGCAUUUGCACACACGAGAAACUUUUGUUUUUACCUUUAAGAGUUAAUAAAGGUUGGGUUUUUGCUAGUAA